GGGUGAUGAAAAUGCUCAAAGUUAGAUUACGGUGAUGGUUGCGCGCCUCUGUGAAUAUACUCAAAAGCCUUGAAAACAAAAGUUGAGGUGCUACAAACUAAAGGAUCUAAUCGCAGUCACAGAACAGUUGCCCAUGCUUAGUGGCAAGAGGCUGUAUCCUGAGGACUUUUGUGUUUCCAGAUUUCUCCAAAGGAGAAUUACAGUUUGGCAGGUGGAAUGAGGGUCAGGUAGAAAAGGCUGACGAUGCAACUAACUUUAAGGAGGGGGAGGACAAAGGGUGAAGACCAGGUCAGUGUGGAGAAAGGGAGGUUGUAGGAUGUUAGUGCUUCAGAGGAAAACAACAACGAGCUUUUCUCUCCUCUCUGGGGAUCCUGGUCAGCUUCACAUUGGUGGCCCAGAAAUCAGUCUCAGCCCCUCCCAGUAUGGACCGCUCCUUGACAGCCGCCCUCUCUCCUAUAAAGGCAGAUGCAAGCUACGUUUGUGUGGGGAUGACACAGCACAAAGGCCCUUGCCAGAUGUGAGCCCCUUGAUAUUGGAUUUCCCAGUCUUCAGAACUGUCGAAAAGCCCAGGAAUGUUCUAGAAUAUAUGAUUGGCGAGGACCCUCACUGGUGCCAUCCACAUCUUCUCUUCAGGACUGGGAACGUUGGCAGCUGAUGAUCCUCUGGGAAGUUCCUUGGUUGGUUAAAUUCCUGAGAGAUGGAUCUUUCAGUCUCCUGCUUUCACAGUAUAUGCCUGGCUGUUUGCAUCCUGAGAACCAAGCAGAGCAAGGCUGGAGAAACAGCAUUCAUGAUGUGAACUGCUAAUGAAUUUUUCUGCCUGUAUUAGGAAAUCCUCAGCCUCAAAUGUACUUAGUCUUCUAGUAAAGAGAUUGUCAAAUUUCCUUCUCCAGAGAAGCCACUUUAGUAUUCUUGCAGAAUAGGGAAGGGGAUGGGACCCAACUUCUUAAGUAAACUUUCAACCAAUCCUCUUGUUUUGAGCCUCACUUUCUUUCUAC
rnacentral:lncRNA from 1 species